GCAACUUCUCGAGAGGUUAACACCUUUAAGGAGAGACUUUGCUCCCUGUCGAUGCCGUGGCUGGACAAAUGCCGCUCUCAACUGCUACAGACCAAAGUCUACGCUUUAAAGAUAGAGAAGCCAUUCUGUCAAAGUGAAAACAGAAGCGGUAGGUAGGAAGCCGCCCCCCUUUCUUUCAAGCACAGAGACCCAGAGAGACGCCCAGGAGCUCCCGAAAAAAACGUUGCUGAUUAGAGCUGCCGGGUCAGAAACAGCUGUGAGACACUAAAGUCCCCACUGUUAUAAUUAUUCAAUAUGUUCCCACUGACUGAGGAAAACAAGCAUGUGGCCCAGUUGUUGCUCAAUACUGGUACUUGUCCAAGAUGUAUCUUCAGAUUCUGUGGUGUGGAUUUUCAUGCACCUUACAAACUUCCAUACAAGAUGAAGAAACUGAGAUACAGAGAGGUUAAGCAACCUGCCCAAAGUUACACAGCUAUUAAGUGAGCAAGCUAGGAUUUGAACAGUCUGACUGAAUUCAAAACCUAGGAUUUGGAACUAGAAGACAUGGAUUUGAAUCCCAGUUCCACCACUUUCCAGCUUCAGUUUACUCCUCUGUAAAUGGGAAUGAUGAUAAUACCCACCUCACAGGACUUUAAGGGACAAUACCUAAUAAAGUACGUGGAAACACUUUGAAAACCAGAAAUUGGCUGGGUGCGGUGGCUCACGCCUGUAAUCCUAGCACUUUGGGAGGCCGAGGCGGGUGGAUCACGAGGUCAGGGGUUCAAGACCAGCCUGGCCAAGAUGAUGAAACCCUGUCUCUACUAAAAAUACAAAUAUUAGCUGGGCGCCAUGGCAGGUGCCUGUGAUCCCAGCUACUUGGGAGGCUGAGGCAGGAGAAUUGCUUGAACCCAGGGGUGGGGGGUGCGGAGGUUGCAGUGAGCCGAGAUCAUGCCACUGCACUCUAGCCUGGGCAACAGUGUGAGACUCCGUCUGAAAAUUAAAAAAACAAAAACAAAAAACCAGAAAUGGUACUUGUGCUAUGAUGAUUUAAAUAUGUGUAUAUUCAUUUAUACACAAUAUGACUGUAAAGUAAUAAGACUGGUUUUGUGUAACCCUGCUUACACAUUUUUUUCAGACACACUGUAACCUAUUAUCUAUUAUAUGUUAUUAGGUUUUAAAUUUAUAUUAUAUUAAGAGACUGAGUGUUAUCAACUUUCGUUUGUUUCAUUUUAUGUAAGGCAAUAUACAAGAAUAUUUGGACAGCUUUUUGGAAAUGUUCAUAAAUUUUGAUCUGUUCUAUUCAUGUAACUAUGUAUGUACAUGCACAUCUGUAUAUGCACUAUGUUAUAUCUAUAUUAUAGAUCUUAGGUAACAACAAACAUAUUUGUGUGAGUCAAAAUGUACCUGUAUAUGUAUGUAUGUAUGUAUAUUUCUCUGUUAAAGCAGGAGAGCUAAUUUCUCAAUAAAAUGGAUUUAAAUUUGUUUGAGUGAAAGAUUUUUUCCCUUUACAGUCAGUAAAUUGUCAUCUGAAUGAAUUUGAAAAAUAUACUUUUUCAACAAUGGCAUAAUAAAACAUGUCUAAACAAAACAGAGGAAAAUCCUCUGAGUAUUUUGAUGAGAGGAAUAUCUGAAUGAGAGAAAUAUGAGAAUGGUUUCAAAG
rnacentral:lncRNA from 10 species